CAAUGCCAACCACAAAUGGGGCCAGCUAAGGGUGUGGUGGGAGAAGCCAUCCUGCAGCUCUGAGAUCCACAAAGUGGAGAUAGCAGUAGCACCAACUCCACUGCUUUGGAGGCUGCCCAGUCGAAUUUGGGAGCCAGCGAGGGACCUGACAGCAGCACAUUGGACACCAGAAGACACCCAAAGGGAGAGGAGUGGAAGACCUUCUGGUGUGGGCUGGGCAGCAAUUCACUUGAAGGAGAAACAGCCCGGGUGUGGAGAGGCGGCCAUCCUUGGCGGGAUCCUUUCUAAGGAGCCGAGAAAUCAACGUAGAGCUUCCUCUAUCUGAUUCUCUAACAACUGCAGACCUUCCAUGAGUCAAGCUUUGUGUCAAAAGGACAAAUUAAAAGGACCUAUAAAUGGCACCACCCAGCCCAAUGGACAGAUGCCCCAGGCUGCAGAUUCUGUCAGUGCUGUUCUCGAAGAGGCCCAGGCACAUGCUGAAACAUGGAAGGAUAAGAAGCCAGCCCUCGGGAACCACCAGGAGCCAGGAGCACCCCCGGCCCCCCAAGGCCCCAAGUCCAGCCUGCCCCACCCCCUCCGGUGCAGAGGUCCUGUGACACCAGUGGCAGCCCCGCCACACCCCCCAAGGCCAAGGGCACAGGCAGCGUGGUCUUCCCCGCCCCGCCCGACUACUUCCUGCCGCCACAGCCACCAAUGCCGCCCCUGGAGUACCCAGAGCUCCCGCUGCCGUCCCCGGACUUCAUGGAGACCCCCCUGGACUUCGUGCUCCCUCCCCUCGCUGUCGCCAAGAGGCCUCCUAUGCCCCACCCCCCCAACAGGCACGAAGCAUCAAUGUUCACAAGCAGCAAAUGAAUAAAAGUUAAACGUUCUUCCUACUGCA
rnacentral:lncRNA from 1 species